rnacentral:rRNA from 1 species
GAUGAACGCUAGCUACAGGCUUAACACAUGCAAGUCGUGGGGCAGCACGGGAAGCAGCAAUGCUUUUGGGUGGCGACCGGCGAAUGGGUGAGUAACGAGUAUCCAACCUGCCCCGUGCUCCGGGACAGCCCCGCGAAAGCGGGAUUAAUACCGGAUGGUGCGUGUUUCCCGCAUGGGAUAUACGUCAAAGAUUCAUCGGCACGGGAUGGGGAUGCGUCCGAUUAGCUGGUUGGCGGGGUAACGGCCCACCAAGGCUAUGAUCGGUAGGGGUUCUGAGAGGAAGGUCCCCCACAUUGGAACUGAGACACGGUCCAAACUCC